rnacentral:lncRNA from 1 species
UUAUUAUUAUUAUUAUUAUUUUUUAAAAGUCUUUUGCUCCACAGGUAGUGCAGCUGGGAAGCCAUGGGUGGUCUACUCCUCACCCCACCAGGAUAGCCCAAGAUGACACGCCUCAUGAUCAGUGCCCCUAACUAAGCAGAGUCCAAGGCUGGGACAAAUCAAAGGAGAGAUUUUUACAGAACAGGUUUAUUUUGCUUGCUGUGCAGGGGCAGCCUAGGACGGUCUGGCUGUAAGCUGGGAUGUCUGAAAUUAGUGUGGCAGGAAAGGAACAGCAUGGAAGAUGCUUAGCUCCUUCCUGUCUGCCAUCACCAAACCCACAUUCACAGGAGAGCAGAGACAUCAAUGCCCCUCUGGUUCACAACAGCUUUUGAUUCUCCCCUCAGGGGAUGGAUUUGGGAAGCACAAAAGUUUUGUUUGGGUUGGUUUUUUUGAAGGAAAUCUUAAGACAAUAGAGCACCACUAUCAAACAUCUGCCCCAUGUCCAUGAUUAAGAGGUAAAAAGGAGACAGUACCACCCCAGGUAAGCAUUGAGAAAUAAAGACUUGAUCAGCCUAGCAAUCCCAGGCCCCCAAGUGGCUCCUAAGGACAUAGAGACAAUCCCAUAGUGAAUGAGUCUAUGGGACUAAUCCUGCCAAGAAGGAAAGGCACUGCUCUACCACCUGUUGCUGCCCAUGUGGCAAACUAUUAUUAUUUUUUUUAAUUCUGAAAUCUUCACCACCCAAAUCUCCUACACAACAGAGAAGGAAAUGUAAAAGCAUGGCAAUUAAGUGACUGUCCUCCUUCUUUCUGCUUUCACAUAGGCAUUAUUAGUAUCCAUCUGCAGGCAUACCUGCUGUUAGCCAAAUGAAGUCUAUAGUGUUAAAGUUCUAGCUACUAUGUGUGUGUGUGGUAACAAAUUUAUAUUAAGAACUGUGGAAAGAAAAGCCCAGAAAAGAACUCCUUCACAAGUGUACUUGUUCUUCUGUACCUUGGCAGAAAAACGCAUGCCCAUGCAGAGACAAUCUUCAUUCAGAGUCACACAAGUUAGACAAAUUUUACAAUGUGUCAUUGUAUUAGAAGGGGGGUGCCUGACUGGCUCAGUUAGUAGAGUGUGUGACUCUUGAUCUUGGGAGUUGUGGGUUUGAGCCCUACAUUAAGUGUAGAGAUUGCUUAAAAACAAAAUCUUUAAAAGAAAACAACUUUUGCUGAGUAUGAAAAUGAGUGAAAAUGUUUUAUUACUUAAGUUGUAUUCAUAUCUACUGUUUAUUACUUUUUUACUGUUUUUAAACUCUGAAUCAAAGAUUUCACGAUAUUUGGGCAAGGUCCUAUUAGUUGUUUUGCAAUUGGCCUUCCAUCUAUGUUAAUGGUGAUUUUUAAAAUCCCAAAUUUAUAGAGUCAGAUGUAUGCUAUUCCUUUUAAAGGAGUUUCCUGAGGAGACAACAGUAAGGCUAAAAUUGCUUGAAGUCUUUCUGGACCCUCCUUACAUGCUGCCUAAAGAAAGAACAUGUUCCUUAUAGUGAACCAGAUCUGGGUUUGAAUUCUCUCUUUACCACUCAUUUGCUGUCUAAUCUGGUAAUCAACUUCUCUGCCUGUGCUUUCAUCUGUAAAACAGGGUUACUAAUUCCUACCUUUCAGGAUAGUUGAGAGAUUUAAAGAAGACAGUUGAUGCGAAGCACUGGGAUAACUUUGGAAACAUAUUAAGGCUAAAUAAAUAGUUAUUCUAAAGAUUGCCUUUUAAAUAUCCCCAGUGGUUACAACCUAUGUUCUCUACAUUUUUGAAAUGGCCUACAUCUACAACCCCAUGGCAAAGGUGAUCCAGCUGGGGCAACACAAGUUUUGAUCAGACACAAAGCCAGCCUCAUAUGUAAUGAGGCUGCUUUGGUAAUAUUACUUGAAAACUGGUUCUGAAGAAAUUGCCAAAGAGAAUUUCCAAAAGUGGCUGCAUGACCUUCUGUGAUGAUUGUAGUCUUCUACUUCAAGUCUACACAACAUCAUCAGCUACUGCCCUUCUAUCCCACCUAUAGCCUCAGAUCCACAGUCGGUCCCAACCAAGGUUGCUUGGCUCACCAGACAUCAGAGGCUGAACCUUCAGUCACCUUCUCACACCUGGUUUCUAGAGUCACAUUUCCAAGGGCUGGACUCCUGAAUCACUCUGCUGACAACCAGAUCCAUAGUCCAAGAAUGAUCAAAAUCACCUUCUUAAGAAGCUGCUCUCAACUUCAGCUUCCAAUACUGCCCCCAGUUCAUUCAACCAGAUGUUCCCAACUCCUAGUCCUGACAGGUUACCUUGUUGAGCCCCUCUUUACUGUCCCAGUUCACCCUUGGCAUGCCAAUUCUCCUGCUAUUUAAAAUAGGUCCUGCUACACAGGGGGAGAAUCCUUGCAUGGAAAUAUGGUUAAGUGCUUUUUUUUGUAUGCAGUAGAACCCAAAUCUGGUUGGUUUUAAUAGAAAAGUAAUUUAUUAAAGGAUAUUGGAAUUGACAUAGAUCAGGGAAGACUGGUCAACCAGACUCAGUAAAUAGUAUAGAAUGAGAGGCACUAGACAUUGUCCAGCACCAGAGCUCAAAUCAUGUCUGAGUCCUUCUGCUAAAGACACUGCUGCCAACGCCAUAGCAUGCUGGACCUCCUCAUUCAAACUACUAUCUCAGAACUGUACAUCAGAUGCUGCCUUGCUCACAGCUACUGCUACUACACACAUCCUCCAGAUGGAUUCUCCAUUGUGCCUGCUUCUUUGCAUAAAGAGCUUCUUCCUCAAAGUGUGGAAGGGGCCAAUUUGAUUGGUCUAUCCCAGGUCACAUGCCAAUGUCCUCCCUUCAAAGGAGCCUAGGCAAGUAUCUGGCACUGUCAGCUUCUAUAACAGGUGGAUAAAAACCAAGCAUCCACUAUAAGUGGUAACUAAAUAUCCAUAAGAUCUCUCAUCCUGUGUCCCCUUUGAAGAGGACAUCCACUCCAAUGCAGCAAGCUUUGGCAUACUGGGAUUUUUAACAUUUAGAACACUUUUCUGGAAAGCCUUAGAAGAGGUUAUGCUUUUAGACUCAGAAAUUUUACUUCUCUAUAAUGAGAAUAUCUCAGAAUAAUUUCAGCCUCUAUCAUGAGGAGGUAAUAUGAAACAGACUAAAAUUUCUUCAAAAAUAUUUAUAAUAUUGUUAUUAACCAUUAAAAACAACUGGAAAAAAACCCCUAAACAUUCCACAAGAUGACUGCCUACAAAGUCACGGUAUAUUCACUUAACAGCACAUUAUGCAGCCAUUAAAAAUCAUAACCGUAUUAAUUUUAAAAAAUAAAAAGGUACAAAGUAUGAUAUAAAAUUGCCUGCACUAAAGGCAAAAUUCUAUACAGAAUGGCCUCAACCAAAUAAAAUAAUAUUGACAAAUAGGAGGUAGAUAGAAAUAGACAAAUAAAUCACCUUAUGGGUAACUGGUGGUAUUUGAGUAUUGGUUGAGUACUAGAUGAUAUUAGGGGGUUACCUGGAGGGAUGUGUGCUGAAUAUUACUUUGAACAGUCACAAUGUCUAUAAUUUAAAUGGUCAGCAAAAAUACAUAAGGGAAAUACAGCAGAAUAUUAGAGACACAUAAAAUAUUUUAAAAGAUUCAGAGUAAUUAGAUAGAGAAAGGAAGACCAAAAGAAUGCAAAUAUCAACCAAAAGAAAGAUGGUAGAGCUGUAUUAAUAUCAAAGUAGACUUUAUACAGAAAGCACUGGUAGAGAGGAAUUGAAACACUUCCUUGUGAGAAAAGAAGAUAGAUCGAUUCUAAAUUUGUAUUCAGCCAAUUUAACUUUGCCUCAAAAUAUAUACAGCAAAGACUGAAGAAAGAAAUGAACCCAUACAUACAUUUAGUGAGAGAUGUUUAAAUCUAUUAUUUACUCAGAGAGAUGUCUUAAAUCUCUCUCAGUAAAUAAUAGAGUGGACAGUCAAAAUAAGUAAGUUGGUAAAAAAUACAGAUGGCUUGAACAAGAUUAAAAAACUUGAUGUAAUGACAUACAAGUAACAUUCCCAGCAACAACUUUAGAAAACAUGUUUUUUUUCAAAUGUACCUGAAGUAUUUAUAAAAUUGACAUAACCUGGAUAGCAAAGCACAUUUUAGCAACUUUCACCUGACUGAAAUCACACAGAAUCUAAUCCCUGGGGGUACCUGGGUGGCUCAGUUGGUUGAGCAUCUGAUUCUAGAUCUUAGCUCAGAUCUUGAUCUCAGCAUCAUGAGUCCAAGCCCCAUAUUGGGUUCCAUACUCAGUGUAGAGCCUACGUUAAAAAAAAAAAAAAAAGAAAAAAAGAAAAUCUGCUCCCUAGACAUCCCAGAAUUAUACUAAAACAUCAGUGUUAGUAGAAAUACAGAUACCAUUACCAAAAAGAUGACUUUUUGGUCACAAAUUUUGCAAACUAAGAAAUACAGAUCUAAGUAUCUCGUGUACAAAGAAGAAAUCACAAAAGAAACUAGAGAAGACCUUGAAGUAAAUGAUAAAAAAAUUACUUAUUUCCUCUAAAAUGAUUUACGCCACACUACUAGGUUACUAAACCAAAGAUAGUCUGUUUUUGUUUAAAAUAGCAAUACUGGGGGAUCCCUGGGUGGCUCAGUGGUUUGGCGCUUGCCUUUGGCCCAGGGCGCGAUCCUAUAGUCCCGGGAUCGAGUCCCAUGUCGGGCUCCCGGCAUGGAACCCGCUUCUCCCUCCUCCUGUGUCUCUGCCUCUCUCUCAAUCUCUGUGUCUAUCAUGAAUAAAUAAAUAAAUAAUAAAUAAAUAAAUAAAUAAAUAAAUAAAUAAAUAAAUAAAUCUUUAAAAAAAUAAAAUAAAAUAGCAAUACUGUUUUUGCUCAAAAAAGAGCUAAACAUGACCAAACAAAAAAAUUCAGUGUCAGCAUUGAGAAAUACCAAAUCUGACUCCUUCAAAGAACAAGGGCCAAUCUUUGGGUGUCUUUACUCUGUCCCACGCUAUACAGUUUGAGCAAGGAAAUUAGUCCAACUAGGGGAUUUGAAUGCAUUUUUAAUAUGCAUGUGACGCUGUUAAUUCAGGUUCAUUACCAUUAACCAGUACUUCCCUCUGUUAGAGCAGAGAGCAAGAAAUAACAGAAGCCUUCUGGCUGGCUGACAACACAUGACAGUACAAGAAAUGUCACCCAAUGCAGCUUGAGGAGCUGCAAGUCUGAAAUAGAGCUUUAACUAAGUGUUUCAGUAACCUACACCAUAAGGAAAGAGUCCCUCAGUCAGGAAUUUAGAAAGGAGACAUUUGGUGUCUGUGCCAGGCUGCACAUUUUCAGUAAAAGAAGUCUGUUCUGCAAUCAGAACUCCUAAUUUGAGCUCCCCCACUGAUUACACUGUGUCCUUGGGCUGAGCAUUAAACACAUCAGAUCUCCCUGAAAGAGGGUGUGUAUCAAACAUGAUAAUGAAUGCGAAUGUGCUUUGUAAACUGUAAAGGGUUGCAAAAAUGUUAGUGAUUAUUGUGUCAUAGCACUGUCCCAGGUGAACAUUUAUUGAGGUCACAACAUAAGCACAAAACAUCACUGGAGAGUUGUUUGAAGUAACCAUUUAGAAACUGAAUAUUUCUCUCUUCUUUCUUCUGCCCUCUCUCCUUUCAAGUUCUCUCUCUCUCUCUCUCUCUCUCAUUUUGGCAAAUACCAUAACAGUAGGAAUAACAGUGGUGAUGUACUAAGCAGACUCUGCACUAUGCACUUUACAUGUGCAUUAAUAUUCAAUUUUCACAACAAUCCUCCAAGGUAGAGAUUUUUCAAAUUUCUCCGAUGAGGACACCUGGCACAGAAAACUGGUGGCAUUUAACCCUGGGUGGGGGUGAGAAGGGUGACAAGAAUGAUGCGUGGUCAAAACAAGCCCUUUUUAAAAAAAAAUGCUAAGGAGUGGAAUGGAAGGACAAGCAUGCACAUUUCAAGAGAGUUCCCAGAGUAAUUUUGUCUUCUCUGGCCUUUUGUGGAGAACCAAAUCACUAGGUUAGUCAUUGUGGUCAAGCUGUUAAGAGAGUUCAGAACCUACAUUCAAGUCCAGGCUUCCCCUAGCAAAACUCAUGCUUUUUCCACUUUAUUUCAAUGAUAUAUCAUGCAAUAUACAUUUAAAUUUAUUUCUACUUCUGAAUCACAAGUAGUAAGUUACCCUCACAGAAAAUUUAAACUAGAUAGCACACCUUCAUCUAUAAAAUAUCUUUCCCAAGAAUUUGUAACAUAAAUCUAAUAAAACCUCUAGAUUCACUUCCAGAUUACAGUAAAUACUUGGAAUAUGAAAACAAGUUAAAUGACACGGCAGAGAAACAGAUAAAUCCAGAAUUUUAUAUAUUAUGAUCAUAUACAAAUUAUAAUCCAAGAUAAAUAGCUUGGAUUCUUCCAAAAGUUAACGUUAUUUAAGAAGAAAAAAAAGUGGGGAAACAGUUCUAUAUUAAAAGGAACAACACAGACUUAAAGACCAAAUGUAAAAUUUGAACUUUGUUGAACUGGGAUUUGAGAUGGAAGGAAUGAAAGACAUUCGUGGGAUAAUUAAGGAAAUCUGAAUAUGGAAUGUACAUUAUAUAAUUCUGUAAGAUUGGUGAUGAUUUGGCGGGCUUAGUUAAGUUAGGUGUGAUGAUGGUAUUAUGGUUAUUUAUGAGAGUAUACUAAUUCUUGGAGAUGCAUGUUAAACUGCAUAGGGGUGAAGCAUGGUGUCUGCAACUCUUAAAUGAUAAUAUACACACAUACGUAGACAGAGAUAGAGGAGGGAAUAAAAAAUGCUGCAUUAGUAGAACCGUCAGGUUUUAGAACCAAAAGUACCCUGGGAAUGAAUCAGUAUGUUUGACAUCCUCAAGCAGUUGAAGAAACUGCAGCCCAAAACAAGAUGACUGAGGUCACCUGGCAAGUUGGUGACAGAACCUCAGUCCUCCAUCCUAUGACCAAGGCCUUCACACUACACUUUCUUCCACCUUUGGGAAAACUGUUAACCAUCUAUUGUAAUUAAGUGGAAAUCCUAAGAGUCAGGCUUAGUUACUCCUAUGCCUUCGUCUUAAUGAAAGUAAAAUUUUGCUCAGCAUAGCACUUUGAUGAUCUAUCAAGCUUGCCGAAGUAAGAUUACUGAAAGGACAGAAAAGUAAAAGUAAACACUGGAUGUCAUGCAUUGUGCUAAGAGCCCCUAUAGCUAUGAUUCUAUUUACUUCUCCCAAAGGCCCUAUGAGACAGGCAUAAUAUUUUAUAAAGUCUACCUCCUAAACCUGCCUCUUAGCUUAAAAGGUAAAGACAAUUUCAAGAUAGAAAAGGAAAGGGAAGGGAUCCCUGGGUGGCUCAGUGGUUUAGUGCCUGACUUCAGCUCAGGGCGUGGUCCUGGGGUUCUGGGAUGGAGUCCCACAUCGGGCUCCCUGCAUGGAGCCUGCUUCUCCCUCUGCCUCUCUCUCUCAUGAAUAAAUAAACAAAAUCUUAAAAAAAAAAAAAAAAAA